rnacentral:rRNA from 1 species
GACAUGCAGAGAACUUUCCAGAGAUGGAUUGGUGCCUUCGGGAACUCUGACACAGGUGCUGCAUGGCUGUCGUCAGCUCGUGUCGUGAGAUGUUGGGUUAAGUCCCGUAACGAGCGCAACCCUUGUCCUUAGUUACCAGCACGUUAUGGUGGGCACUCUAAGGAGACUGCCGGUGACAAACCGGAGGAAGGUGGGGAUGACGUCAAGCCAUCAUGGCCCUUACGGCCUGGGCUACACACGUGCUACAAUGGUCGGUACAAAGGGUUGCCAAGCCGCGAGGUGGAGCUAAUCCCAUAAAACCGAUCGUAGUCCGGAUCGCAGUCUGCAACUCGACUGCGUGAAGUCGGAAUCGCUAGUAAUCGUGAAUCAGAAUGUCACGGUGAAUACGUUCCCGGGCCUU